rnacentral:rRNA from 1 species
GUGCCAGCCGCCGCGGUAACACGUAGGAGACUAGCGUUAUUCGGAUUUACUGGGCGUAAAGCGCGUGCAGGCGGUUCGGUUAGUUGGAUGUGAAAGCUCCUGGCUUAACUGGGAGAGGUCGUUCAAUACUGCCGGACUUGAGAGUGGUAGAGGGAGUUGGAAUUCCGGGUGUAGUGGUAAAAUGCGUAGAUAUCCGGAAGAACACCAGUGGCGAAAGCGGACUCCUGGACCAUUUCUGACGCUCAGACGCGAAAGCUAGGGGAGCGAACGGGAUUAGAAACCCUGGUAGUCC